GGUUAUGGCUCAGUGGUAGAGCGCUCACCUAGCAUGUGCAAGGCCCUGGGUUCGAUCCUCAAUACCA
rnacentral:tRNA from 1 species